AGGAAAUUGUGGAAUAAUAUUGCCAAACAAUGGAAAAUUAGAAUUUUUGGUUCAACACGGCUACUACUAAAGUCGUAGAAUAUAAAGGAAAUUGUGGAAUAAUAUUGCCAAACAUUGGAAACAAUACGAGAGCAAGCAUUUCAUACUUUAUUGUUGGCAGACCUCACAUAUUUUAUUUUAUAAGUUCUCUCGAAGAGGUGUAUGGACGGUUAGUUUUAUGAACAUAUAUAAAAUAUGUUAGAUAUUUGCAGAUAUUGCUAAUUGAAAAAACUAUCAUUUACAUUUAAAUUAAAAUUUUAGAAUAUACAAUCUCUAAUUAUUAUAGACUUAAUUCUACAAAAAUGUAUGUAUUUUUAACUUCAAAUAUCUUUGUAACUAAAUUUUGAAUUAGAAUUUCAUUAAAGUAAAAUUUA
rnacentral:lncRNA from 13 species